GGGAGAGCAGAAACGUGUAAUCACCCAAACAACCGUUUUUACCCGUUUCACCCCCUCUGGAUCUGUGUCGCAAGUCCGCCGUGAGCCUGUCUGCCUUUCACUGCGGAUAUCGUGGAGGGAGGCCGGAGCGUGAAGAAGACACCAGAGAGUUUCAGAUGAUGUCCAGUACGCCACGGCUGCUCCAGCCAAUAAACAAGGUGACUAACAAUGGAAGAGGGCCAGGAAUGAAGAGAGGGAGACAAGCUAACCACCACACCACACACAGCUAGAAU